AUGCAACUGUAGCCAGGUUUCCACGGGGCCCAGGAGGAGAGGAUGAGAGCAGAGAGCCAGGCUAGGAGGACGGCAUCCCGCCUUCCGGCUAAGAAGAAAACUAACCGACCACGUGGCCCUGCAGUAACCCAGGCACUGGGCCCUCACACUUUAAAUUCAUGGGCACAUCAAUCCUCAGCAACCUAACAAGCAUUUCAGGUAAUCCUCCCAACAAACCCAUGAAGGUGCGCCCACCGAAGCCCAGCGAGAUUCAGAACCUGAUCAGAAUGAUGGUGACUAAGCUAAAUGAGCGCCUGCCUGACCAAGAGUUUGAUCUCAACAG